ensembl:lncRNA
GCCGACUUUUAUAUAUAUAUAUACGUACAGUUUUUUCCCUUAAUUGUACUUGCUUUGGAAAUUCAACAGUUUGUGUUUAGGCAGGAAAUCAAUCACAGCAGUAUUUGAAUAAAACCUCAAAGCCAGCUGCAUGAUCUGAGGAUUCCUGGUUGUGGAAAUCGUGUUAUUGAGUGGAGAGAGGAUGGCUAAAGCUAUGCGGCUCUGUCCCAAAUAUUAUACGCCACGUCGUAUUUAUACUUCUGACAAAGAUAUGAGCCAUUUACACUCACACAUAACAUUUUCAUCAGGGUACAAAGAAAUUUGGAAAUAUGCAAAGAUAUGCAUUGAUUUAGAUAUUUUUUUUCUUCCCAAGCCUAGAAUUCUAAUGAUCAGUCCGAUUCCUACAUUCCUCUGUAAUAUAUUGCGUGUUUUUUUGUUUUUAAGGAGAAAUUUGGGAUGGUUGUAAUAGGCUCGCAAUAAGCGGCACAGCCCUCCUCUCUCCAGUCCUCUGAGAGCAUGUGGUUUGUGAUGCUGAUGAGGUUUUUCGUCUAGAGACUGAGGUUUGUCUCCUACAGACAUAUGAGAAAAUAGUGAGAUUUGUUUUAUGCACAUACAUAUAUAAUAAUAAUAAAAAAAAAUAGUGAGGUAGAUAAAUGCUUCAAGGAAAUGGAAAAAAAAGUCCCCCAGUCAUGACAUCAUGGAAAAUACAAAUAAAAACUCAUAUACAUUGGGCCAUUUAUACAGUGAUUUAAACAUAUAUCACAAAAAAUAAAACAAUAAAUAACCCUACAGAAGAGGAGAACAGCCUUUAUGAAGGGACAAAUUACACAUGGGUGAAUCCUCUCAGAAUACAAAGAGGAAUCCAUAAAAAAGUGUUUUUAAAACCAAAAACUAACCUCUUUCAUUGAAAUGACAAGACCACUAUAAUGGAAUUCAAUCCAACCCUGUCUGUAUUUGGUUUCCAGAUGUUUCUUCAGAGAAGCCUGCGCCCGUUGAGUGUGUGUGGCUAUGCUGACACGUGUUGGAGAAUGCAGCAGCAUGUUGUUUUAGAGCGCAGGCAAGCGGUUGGGGUUUGUAAGGCAACCUAUGACGACCCAUGUAGCCCUGUCAGAUGCUAAGCAAUUAUAUGUAUGGGGUUAUAGUGAUAUAAAAAAACACAACAAAAGUAAGAUGAGUCUUGACUUAAGAAAGAGGCACUGGGGGAAGCAGAAAAGUUACUGUACAACACUCAUAUGGGAGGCAGAGAAGCAAGAGAGAGCGCCAUUACAUCAAAGACAAAGCAACAGAGUAGAAGAAGGAGCUGGGACGAGGAUGCGUGGAGAGAGCAAAAUCUUUAACUCUGACCUGAGAUUCAGUUGCACCCAGGGGGCAGGACUUGGUGCAAUGCUAGACAACUGGUACAAGGGUGCCAAAACUACUCGCACAGACCAAGGGCAUUUUUAAAAACCUACACAAACACAGUAAUAAUAAUAAUAAUAAUAAUAAUAAUAAAAUAAUAAUAAUAAUAAUAAUAAUGAUACAUUAAAAACAGAAGGCAAUGGAUUGUAUGUGGCAAUCUAAACAACCUCUCAGCAGAAGGGGAAAAAUUUGUUUAUUAAAUAUAAUUUUUUCUUCCUUUUUU